UACAGAGGUGGCAAGCGUUGUUCGGAAUUACUGGGCGUAAAGGGCGCGUAGGCGGCCCUCUAAGUCAGACGUGAAAUCCCCCGGCUUAACCUGGGAACUGCGUCUGAUACUGGAGGGCUUGAGUAUGGGAGAGGGAUGUAGAAUUCCAGGUGUAGCGGUGAAAUGCGUAGAUAUCUGGAGGAAUACCGGUGGCGAAGGCGGCAUCCUGGACCAUUACUGACGCUGAGGCGCGAAAGCCAGGGGAGCGAACGGG
rnacentral:rRNA from 1 species